UACGUAGGUGGCAAGCGUUGUCCGGAUUUACUGGGCGUAAAGAGCGCGCAGGCGGUCGUUCAAGUCGCGUGUGAAAGCCCCCCGGCUCAACUGGGGAGGGUCACGCGAUACUGAUCGACUCGAAGGCAGGAGAGGGUAGUGGAAUUCCCGGUGUAGUGGUGAAACGCGUAGAUAUCGGGAGGGACACCAGUGGCGAAGGCGACUACCUGGCCUGUUCUUGACGCUGAGGCGCGAAAGCUAGGGGAGCAAACGGG
rnacentral:rRNA from 1 species